UACGUAGGGGGCAAGCGUUGUCCGGAUUUAUUGGGCGUAAAGAGCGUGUAGGCGGUCAGGUAAGUGAGAUGUGAAAUGCCCCGGCUCACCCGGGGACCGGCAUCUCAUACUGCUUGGCUUGAGUACGGGAGAGGAUGUGGGAAUUCCUGGUGUAGCGGUGAAAUGCGUAGAUAUCAGGAGGAACACCGGUGGCGAAGGCGCACAUCUGGCCCGAUACUGACGCUGAGGCGCGAAAGCUAGGGGAGCAAACGGG
rnacentral:rRNA from 1 species